UACGGAGGGUGCGAGCGUUAUCCGGAUUUACUGGGUUUAAAGGGUGUGUAGGCGGGCUUUUAAGUCAGUGGUGAAAUCUUCAGGCUCAACCUGGAAACUGCCAUUGAUACUAUUAGUCUUGAAUACUGUGGAGGUGAGCGGAAUGUGUCAUGUAGCGGUGAAAUGCAUAGAGAUGACACAGAACACCGAUUGCGAAGGCAGCUCACUACGCAGUUAUUGACGCUGAGGCACGAAAGCGUGGGGAUCAAACAGG
rnacentral:rRNA from 1 species